CAGAGAAUUAAGGCGUGAAAAAGAUUGAAUCCAGUGCUUAAAGUUAGAGAAAAAUUUGGGUUUGGAGUUGGAAUUGCACCGAAACUAACUAAAUUGUUUUGUAUAUAUGAUGAUAUCAGACUACAAAACAGGGGAACUGAUUCCCUAGAAAACCCCAAAACCCUGGGUUUCCACUUUAUCAGUUAGUUUACAGGGUCAAAACAUGGAAAUUAGAGAAGCCAUGUGCAGACCUCUGACCUCGCCACAUGGCAC
rnacentral:lncRNA from 1 species